rnacentral:lncRNA from 1 species
GUCUUGUCUAUUUUUUGAUUCGUUGAAAUUCCUCUUGAGAUGUGGUAGUUUGUAAAUAUUCCAUUUCUUGUGCUAUUAUAACUUGGCAAAUUUGCCUGUUAUCAUGAACAUAUCAGUGGGAAGAUGAGGUUAAUAAUAGCUGGUAGUAGUUUGUUGUCAUCUUAAACAAGAACCUUUUACAACCAUUAGACUUUUCUUUCUACUUUAAAAGAGCAGGAAGUAUGUAUGACAGGGAUAGGGACAUUAAGAGAUAG